rnacentral:lncRNA from 1 species
AUGACAUAUGGCUGUUCAUUAUUUAUACAUUCUGUAGCAGACUAUAAAUUUUCCUUUGGACAUAUAUCGAGGCACUGAAACCAUUUUGGUUGCAAACACAUAAAUCAUGGUUACAGAUAUUAGUCUAAAUGUAACACCACCCAGGUUCUAGAUCAAAACCUUUAAAAUCCAUUGUAAUUGAUGUCUGCUGUAUAACUUAUGUCUGAUUUUAUUAAAGGUUCUCAUUAUUAUUUAUAUAUUUGGAGAUUAUACUCCCAGCUGUGCUACUAUAUCCAGAGUAAAUUAUUUUGAGGUGUAGGAUUGAGAGAGGAUAUAGAAGUGUGUCAGGGUGCCAGAGUGGGGAGGGGAAGGCUCUUUGUGAAAUGUUAAAAAAAAAAAAGUGGAAGAAGGAAUGGGUGUUGUAUUUCAACGCGGUCUAAUUCAUGUAAUGAUUUCGUUAAUUUACCUCCCAAACGCCUUGUCCUCUGUACCAAUUGACAUUCAUUUGAGACAAAUAAAACAGCCGUGGAGUUGUGUCAGCUAAAUUAUAAAUUAGCGAAAGGGUAACCGAGUGAGCCGGAUUCCCAGGGCUGCCACUGGACUAGGCUUUUCAAAGACCAGAAACGCUUAGAUUGAUCCAUACAUCACAGCGCCGAGAUGCCUCAGUGAAAUGGGGACCGAGGAUUGAUGGCACUUCACAGGCUCAUUAGGAAGCCUCAGGUUGGUGAGCCACUCGCCCAGCGUGACUGCAGAGUGCUGGCAGGCUGACACAAGGGGACGGGCCAUGUCAAAGCAGCAUGGAGAGUGAAGAGCAAAGGCAGCUCGCCACGGAGAAGAGAGCACCGCACCAGGAGGCAGGAGGCCAGUGAAGAAGGAAGUGAGGAGACUGAAUGGCAGGGACCUGAGCUUCAGAGCCUCAUAAACCAGGGUCCCCAUCUCUGCUGGGCCGUUACCAGACUUGUGGCCCCUACAAGAACUUCUCUAGCCAGUCAGAGCCUCAUCUGUAGCAAGGAUACAAUUAUAAGGAUUUGCUAUAA